GAAUCCGAGUCACGGCACCA
rnacentral:ncRNA from 2 species